rnacentral:lncRNA from 1 species
UCUGUGUGUGUGUGUUUCCUACAGAUUGAUCGGCUUUGGUGGAAUCUUGAAUCUCCAAUUGCCAGCCGGGUUCAAAUCUUCUUCAUUUGCUUUUGAGAUCAACAUCGGAGCAAACCCAGACUCGAUUACAGAAUUCAUCAGUUGAGGUUGGAGCUAUUGUUGGACUUGAUCAAUAUGUCAGCUGCUUCAAAAUUCAAUAAGUUCUGGCUGAGGAUACAACAGAGGAUUAAAAGCGCAGACUCAGGAUGUUAACCGAGGAGCAAGAAAAUGAACUUCCGAACUUUACACCAUUCAUUCCAUUGAUGUCUCCCUUG